GACGAACGCUGGCGGCGUGCUUAACACAUGCAAGUCGAGCGGUAAGGCCCUUUCGGGGAUACACGAGCGGCGAACGGGUGAGUAACACGUGGGUGACCUGCCCUCAGCUCUGGGAUAAGCCUGGGAAACCGGGUCUAAUACCGGAUAUGACUCCAUGACGCAUGUUGUGGGGUGGAAAGCCUUGUGCGGCUGAGGAUGGGCCCGCGGCCUAUCAGCUUGUUGGUGGGGUGANGGCCUACCAAGGCGACGACGGGUAGCCGGCCUGAGAGGGCGACCGGCCACACUGGGACUGAGACACGGCCCAGACUCCUACGGGAGGCAGCAGUGGGGAAUCUUGCGCAAUGGGCGAAAGCCUGACGCAGCGACGCCGCGUGAGGGAUGACGGCCU
rnacentral:rRNA from 1 species